rnacentral:rRNA from 1 species
AUUGAACGCUGGCGGCAUGCCUUACACAUGCAAGUCGAACGGCAGCACGGGAGCAAUCCUGGUGGCGAGUGGCGAACGGGUGAGUAAUAUAUCGGAACGUGCCCAGUCGUGGGGGAUAACGUAGCGAAAGCUACGCUAAUACCGCAUACGAUCUAUGGAUGAAAGCGGGGGAUCGCAAGACCUCGCGCGAUUGGAGCGGCCGAUAUCAGAUUAGGUAGUUGGUGAGGUAAAGGCUGCCAAGCCGACGAUCUGUAGCUGGUCUGAGAGGA